rnacentral:rRNA from 1 species
GGCCUACGGGGGGCAGCAGCCGCGGUAAUACGUAGGGAGCGAGCGUUAUCCGGAAUUAUUGGGUGUAAAGGGUGCGUAGACGGGAAAGCAAGUUAGUUGUGAAAUCCCUCGGCUUAACUGAGGAACUGCAACUAAAACUACUUUUCUUGAGUGCAGGAGAGGUAAGUGGAAUUCCUAGUGUAGCGGUGAAAUGCGUAGAUAUUAGGAGGAACACCAGUGGCGAAGGCGACUUACUGGACUGUAACUGACGUUGAGGCACGAAAGUGUGGGGAGCAAACAGGAUUAGAAACCCCCGUAUCCAGAUC